ensembl:rRNA 5S_rRNA 5S ribosomal RNA
GUCUAUGGCCUUACCACCCUGAUCUCGGAAGGUAAGCAGCUUUGGGGCCAGGUCAGUACUUACAUUGGAAGCCGCUUGGCAAUACCGGGGGCGGUAGGCU